rnacentral:rRNA from 1 species
UACGUAGGGGGCGAGCGUUGUCCGGAUUCAUUGGGCGUAAAGAGCUCGUAGGCGGUUCGGUAAGUCAGGUGUGAAAACUCCAGGCUCAACUUGGAGACGCCACCUGAUACUGUCGUGACUAGAGUCCGGUAGGGGAGCAUGGAAUUCCUGGUGUAGCGGUGAAAUGCGCAGAUAUCAGGAGGAACACCAGCGGCGAAGGCGGUGCUCUGGGCCGGAACUGACGCUGAGGAGCGAAAGCCAGGGGAGCAAACGGG